AUAGUCUUUGAACUAUUUCAUCGCCAAGUCCUAAAAAAGCUUGGUUAGAGUUUAUGGUGAGUCUUAUGACYGUAUCUGCCUUGUAGGUUUUAGAUGUAUCUUGAUAAACCUCGGUAGCAAACUAUGUAAUUCAAUUCYAUGAUUGKAAAGGAUACAUGAGACUGUCACUUGAAAAAUCUAUUUAAUUUCUCUCGRAAAUUAUUUAAAAACCUCAUACUUG
rnacentral:misc_RNA from 1 species